GCAGAGGGAAAGUUAUUAAAUUGGAUGCCAUGCUUGACAUGUGUCAAAAUUUGUCAUCAGGUCUCUCGUUAACAUUAGCUUCAUCUCAGAAGAACCUUUUGUUCAUACAUCCUGGAUUUUGCAUUAUUGCAAUGAACAUCGGUGAAAGAUUUGCCCAAAGAAAGGUAUAAUUAAGUACAAUGAGGUAGAUUUUGAAGCAUCUUCUUGAGUCAUUUCUGUGGCUCAAUGAUUGCAAAACAUUAAUUUCAACAGCUUGCCAGAAGUUCUCUUGUGUUGUUUUGCUUGAUAAGACAAUGACUUCCAAUACAAUAUCAGGUCACAUAAAGUGGAGGCUUAGUCAUAUGAGUGUACGCCUAACCCUGAGGUGUUUAUGUCUUCU